ACAAGCGGUGGAGCAUGUGGUUAAUUCGAUGCAACGCGAAGAACCUUACCUGGUUGACAUAUACCGGAAAGCUGCAGAGAUGUGGCCCCCCUUGUGGUCGGUAUACAGGUGGUGCAUGGCUGUCGUCAGCUCGUGUCGUGAGAUGUGGGUUAAGUCCCGCAACGAGCGCAACCCUAUCUUAUGUUGCCAGCACGUUAUGGUGGGGACUCGUAAGAGACUGCCGGGGUCAACUCGGAGGAAGGUGGGGACGACGUCAAGUCAUCAUGCCCCUUAUGUCCAGGGCUUCACACAUGCUACAAUGGCCAGUACAGAGGGCUGCGAGACCGUGAGGUGGAGCGAAUCCCUUAAAGCUGGUCUCAGUUCGGAUCGGGGUCUGCAACUCGACCCCGUGAAGUCGGAGUCGCUAGUAAUCGCAGAUCAGCAACGCUGCGGUGAAUACGUUCCCGGGCCUU
rnacentral:rRNA from 1 species